GCGUGCAGAGAGAACUAGAGCCCAGUAACUUUACCAUGUAAAUGUGUGUGAUUGUGUACUUAUCUUUUCAGGGUUUGCCGUCGAAACCGAAUGUCCACACGCAGCCUUUAGUGAGAAAGGGAUUUACGUUAAGUAAACACAGACUGUUGACUCGUUUUUUACUGGUGUUAGUGAUAUUUUAGUGCUUGGCAAUGGGAAUACGCUGCGAAGCGGAAGUCUGUAGCAUCCGCAUUGGAAGAACACGCUAUGAAUGAAUAAUGGGUAAUUUCGCUGACUGUGGAAAAAGGUGGAUAUCACUGAUUACAAUUCUAAACCGUGCACAAUUGAAUAUCGACAAAAUUGCAAAUGGAGGUCAUCUGCUGCGUUCUAUUCAAGUCGGAUGUGGGAUAUUCCACUUGAUAUCUCCGAUCUCCAACCGUAAAUGUAUUUCAUUGCCAGAUGCUCGGAAGAUGACGUUUAAGGAAAUAAAACUGCAAUGUUACAGUUAGUUUAGCAGGUGUUUGACUGUCACCAGAGAUGUCUCCUAGCAACCCAAUUCAUAAGCAACCUGCAACGCUAGCAUUUGUGCUACAUGUGUACGAUUAUCAAAAGAGAGUAUGAUUUGCUAUGUUUUGAACACCUGAUACUCUGCUAACGUUUGUUAAACACGCUUUAAUAUCAUGUAAUGUAGGAACUUUGAUUCAUUUAUCGAUAUUAUGUAAUACAAGUGAAUGUUUAUCACUUAUUUUGUACAUCUUCCUGAGAGCCGACAUGAUUGUGUGACGUCACGCAGGAGGGUGAAGGGACAAUCCCCCUGGAGCAACCUGGAUUAAGUGCCUUGCUCAAGGACACAAUGGUGAUGGCUGUGGGGAUUGAACCAGCAACCUUCUGAUUACAAGUCCUCGUGGUGGCGUAGUGACUCACCUCAGCCAGGAUGGCGGAGGACGAAUCUCAGUUGCCUCCGCAUCUGAGACCGUCAAUCCGCGCAUCUUAUCACGUGGCUUGUUGAGCGCUUACCACAGAGACCUAGUGAGUGUGGAGGCUUCACGCUAUUCUCCGUGGCAUCCACGCACAACUCACCACACGCCCCACCAAAAACGAGAACCACGUUACAGGGACCACGAGGAGGUUAACCCAAUGUGACACUACCCACCCUAGCCAAUUGGUUGGAGUCACUCAGCACACCCUGGAUUCGAACUUGCGACUCCAGGUGUGGUAGUCAGCGUCUUUACUUGCUGAGCUAAAAUAAAAAAUAAAAUUGUUUAUUGUUAGUUCAUAGUGCAUGAACUGAUGUUAACAAAUGCAACUUUUGAUUUAGAAAAAUGUAUUAGUAUUAACAUUAACUAAGAUUAAUAAUGCUGUAAAAGUAUUGUUCAUAGUUAAUGUUAACUAAUGUUCUUAACUAAUGUUAACAAAUUGAACCUUAUUGUAAAGUGUUACCAAAAUGUAUAUAUAUAUAUAUAUAUAUUUUUAGUUAUAUAUAAAGAGGUGUGUGUGUGAAAAAAAAAAAGAUGAGAAGGAUUUUGUUGGAUCAUUACUCCAAAAAUAGUUCCCAACUGAACACUUAAGUGUUUGAUUUUAAAUUGAACCCAGUUCUUCCUUUUACAUGCGACUUCAAUUUGAGGAAAAACAACAGAACUGGAAUAUUCUGGAUCUGUCCGGGACAUUUGCUUCAGGCUUUCAUAAAAGCCAACUUACUCAGUGAAGUAACAACACUGAGCACAAAUCUGCCUGAAACCUGUUACCUUGCCCUGCUCCCACUGGAUUUGCCAUCACAUGAUCAAAACAAAGAGGUCACAUGGUCCUGCACAUGGCUCACCAUGACUCAGCACAGGCAACAUAAACACAUGGUUACCUUUGUUUGUUAAGUUUAGAAUUUAAGCCAUUCCCUUUGUCCUCACAAUUUAUAAUUGUGCAUUUGAUGGGGCAGAUUACAGAGCCAGAGGAAAAUUUUAUUGCUCAGAGGUUGCUCUUUUAUAGC